rnacentral:lncRNA from 1 species
AGGUGUAUUUGGCAAACCUAUCUGUUUGUUCUGAUUUAUAUGUUUGUUUUUACAAAAUUCUGAAGUUAGGGUUUCUAAAUUGAGUUUUUUUUAUCUGCAUUCUUUUAUUAUGUAUGGAUGUUUCGUGUUUGUUUGUUUUGCAUGCCUUUGUUUGUUACUUCAUAUGAUUGUGUAUUAUGGGAUUUGUAGAUGUUCAAUUACUGGAUGAUAUACU